rnacentral:rRNA from 1 species
GUCUUAUUGAUUAUAAUUUUAAGUCUAAUCUGCCCAAUGAAAUUUUAAAUGGCUGCAGUAUUAAUAACUGUACAAAGGUAGCAUAAUAAUUUGUUUUCUAAUUAAAAACUAGAAUGAAAGAUUCAAUGAAAUAUAAACUGUUUCAAAAAAAUACAAAUUAAAAUUUUUAUUUAAGUUAAAAAACUUAAAUACAAUUAAAAGACGACAAGACCCUAUAGAAUUUUAUUUAUAAAUUAAAUUUAUUUAAAAAAUUAAUUUAAAAAUUUAAUUUAUUAAUUUAAUUGGGGUAAUUAAAAAAUUAAACAAAUUUUUUUAAAAAAAAACAAAAAUUCUUGAAUUAUUAAUCUUAAAUAUAAAUUAAUAAAAUUAAUUACCUUAGGGAUAACAGCAUAAUUUUUUUUAAAAGUUCACAUUUAUAAAAAAGCUUAU